UACAGAGGUCCCAAGCGUUGUUCGGAUUCAUUGGGCGUAAAGGGUGUGUAGGUGGCGCCGUAAGUCGGGUGUGAAAUUUCGGAGCUUAACUCCGAAACUGCAUUCGAUACUGCCGUGCUUGAGGACUGGAGAGGAGACUGGAAUUUACGGUGUAGCGGUGAAAUGCGUAGAUAUCGUAAGGAAGACCAGCGGCGAAGGCGGGUCUCUGGACAGUUCCUGACGCUGAGACGCGAAAGCUAGGGGAGCAAACGGG
rnacentral:rRNA from 1 species